rnacentral:rRNA from 1 species
CUCAAAGAUUAAGCCAUGCAUGUCUAAGUAUAAGCAACUAUACUGUGAAACUGCGAAUGGCUCAUUAAAUCAGUUAUCGUUUAUUUGAUAGUACCUUUACCUGGAUAACCGUGGUAAUUCUAGAGCUAAUACAUGCUAAAAACCUCGACUUCGGAAGGGGUGUAUUUAUUAGAUAAAAAACCAAUGCCCUUCGGGGCUCCUUGGUGAAUCAUAAUAACUUAACGAAUCGCAUGGCCUUGCGCCGGCGAUGGUUCAUUCAAAUUUCUGCCCUAUCAACUUUCGAUGGUAAGAUAGAGGCUUACCAUGGUCUUAACGGGUAACGGGGAAUUAGGGUUCUAUUCCGGAGAGGGAGCCUGAGAAACGGCUACCACAUCCAAGGAAGGCAGCAGGCGCGCAAAUUACCCAAUCCCGACACGGGGAGGUAGUGACAAUAAAUACUGAUACGGGGCUCUUUUGGGUCUCGUAAUUGGAAUGAGUACAAUCUAAAUCCCUUAACGAGGAACAAUUGGAGGGCAAGUCUGGUGGAGGAACAAUUGGAGGGCAAGUCUGGUGCCAGCAGCCGCGGUAAUUCCAGCUCCAAUAGCGUAUAUUAAAGUUGUUSCCGUUAAAAAGCUCGUAGUUGAACCUUGGGCCUGGCUGACCUGUCCUCCUAAUCGAGCGCACGGGUUCGGUCGGGCCUUUCCUUCUAGGGAACCCCAUGC